AUGACGUACUUGUACUGAUUGAGAUUUUAACACGAAGUGAGUGGCGAACGGGUGAGUAACACGUGGGUAACCUGCCCAGAAGUAGGGGAUAACACCUGGAAACAGAUGCUAAUACCGUAUAACAGAGAAAACCGCAUGGUUUUCUUUUAAAAGAUGGCUCUGCUAUCACUUCUGGAUGGACCCGCGGCGUAUUAGCUAGUUGGUGAGGUAAAGGCUCACCAAGGCAGUGAUACGUAGCCGACCUGAGAGGGUAAUCGGCCACAUUGGGACUGAGACACGGCCCAGACUCCUACGGGAGGCAGCAGUAGGGAAUCUUCCACAAUGGACGCAAGUCUGAUGGAGCAACGCCGCGUGAGUGAAGAAGGGUUUCGGCUCGUAAAGCUCUGUUGUUAAAGAAGAACGUGGGUAAGAGUAACUGUUUACCCAGUGACGGUAUUUAACCAGAAAGCCACGGCUAACUACGUGCCAGCAGCCGCGGUAAUACGUAGGUGGCAAGCGUUAUCCGGAUUUAUUGGGCGUAAAGCGAGCGCAGGCGGUCUUUUAAGUCUAAUGUGAAAGCCUUCGGCUCAACCGAAGAAGUGCAUUGGAAACUGGGAGACUUGAGUGCAGAAGAGGACAGUGGAACUCCAUGUGUAGCGGUGAAAUGCGUAGAUAUAUGGAAGAACACCAGUGGCGAAGGCGGCUGUCUGGUCUGCAACUGACGCUGAGGCUCGAAAGCAUGGGUAGCGAACAGGAUUAGAUACCCUGGUAGUCCAUGCCGUAAACGAUGAUUACUAAGUGUUGGAGGGUUUCCGCCCUUCAGUGCUGCAGCUAACGCAUUAAGUAAUCCGCCUGGGGAGUACGACCGCAAGGUUGAAACUCAAAAGAAUUGACGGGGGCCCGCACAAGCGGUGGAGCAUGUGGUUUAAUUCGAAGCUACGCGAAGAACCUUACCAGGUCUUGACAUCUUCUGACAGUCUAAGAGAUUAGAGGUUCCCUUCGGGGACAGAAUGACAGGUGGUGCAUGGUUGUCGUCAGCUCGUGUCGUGAGAUGUUGGGUUAAGUCCCGCAACGAGCGCAACCCUUAUUACUAGUUGCCAGCAUUAA
rnacentral:rRNA from 1 species